UAUGCUUUUCCUAAAGAUUAAGCCAUGCAUGUCUAAGACUAUGAGGAAGCUAUUCUCUCUGAAUCUGCGAACGGCUCCGCAAACCAGUUGUAAACCACAGCAAGGAUGACCUGGUGAGGCCUGCGGGCGUUAACCGGAUCUAAAUGGAUACCCCUGGUAAUUCUGAGGCUAAUACAUGACAACACGAAGCCAUCCUAGGCCUAGAGCUUGGGGUGGGAAUGUGCGAUUUUAAAAUACUGGGAUUCCUUUCGCGAAAGAACGCACGUUCAGACCACCGCUUUCAAAUGGGUCGCGCCCUCCGGGGCCGGUCCUGGUGGCCCUUGCAACGGGCUUCUGACCUAUCAACUGCACAGCAGCGUAAGGGACAUGCUAUGGUGACAACGGGUACAGAGGAUUAGGGUUCGAUCCUGGAGAGUGGGCCUGAGAGAUUGCUCAUACUUCUAAGGAAGGCAGCAGGCGCGCAACGUUCCCCUUGGGCAUCGCUCGAGGGCGUUAUGGGAAAUAUGAAUGGCUGCCUACAAGGUGGCCAAUUCAAAUGGGUCUGUCGUAAAUAGGCUCUCGAGUAACAAUUAGAGGA
rnacentral:rRNA from 1 species